CCCCACCAGCCCUCUUUCUGGUUGUUGUACAUCUCUGGGUGUUGGACUUUGUUCUUCCCAUAGAACUGAUUAUCCUAUGGUGGGCUGAGAAAGAGUGACUGGCCCAAAAGUCAUCCAUCAGGCUUUGUGCUCAAGACUGGAUUAAAGAAA